rnacentral:rRNA from 1 species
GAUGAACGCUGGCGGCGUGCCUAAUACAUGCAAGUCGAGCGAACGGACGAGAAGCUUGCUUCUCUGAUGUUAGCGGCGGACGGGUGAGUAACACGUGGAUAACCUCCCUAUAAGACUGGGAUAACUUCGGGAAACCGUAGCUAAUACCGGAUAAUAUUUUGAACCGCAUGGUUCAAAAGUGAAAGACGGUCUUGCUGUCACUUAUCGAUGGAUCCGCGCUGCAUUAGCUAGUUGGUAAGGUAACGGCUUACCAAGGCAACGAUGCAUAGCCGACCUGAGAGGGGGAUCGGCCACACUGGAGCUGAGACGCGGUCCAGACUCCUAGGGGAGGCAGCAGUAGGGAAGCUUCGGCAGUGGGCGAAAGCCUGCAGGAGCAACGCCGCGUGAGUGAUGAAGGUCUUCGGACCGUAAAACUCUGUUAGUAGGGAAGAACAUAUGUGUAAGUAACUGUGCACAUCUGGACGGUACCUAAUCAGAAAGCCACGGUUAAUUCCGU